rnacentral:lncRNA from 1 species
CAAACAUUUUUUCUUCUCAGAGUCAAUAGGAGUAGUUGAUAGGUUUUGAUUGUGGCAGGUCUGCUCUGAUCUCUGUUUUCUGGCUGACUUAUCAAACUGUUGAGAGGCCAAAGGCAACUGGUGUUUAAUUACAAGCAACACAGAUUUGUGGACAUAAAAAAGAAGCAGUAGCAGGAAACCUGUAAGUUGUCAACCUUCUGUCAAGAAACAGGAAAGAAUCCUCUGCAGAGAAGUUGAAUCAGUGAUUGGUAUAAAUGUAGGAAAUUUAGGUGCUCCUUAAAUCGAUUAGUAGGAAAACCUGGAAGAGGGGAAAAAAGAAGAAUCAAGGGGGUAAAGGACUUGGAAGAAAAAAAAAGAGGAAGAGUACCAUAAUGAAACUGUGAGAAGGUGAUUAUGUCUAUAAGUCUAAGGAGCUUUUGACUGGUGCUUUGGUCAGGAAUUGAUACUAUAAUGGUUUUUGGAAAGUAAAUAAGGAAAAUUACACCUA